rnacentral:rRNA from 1 species
UACGUAGGAGGCAAGCGUUGUCCGGAAUCACUGGGCUUAAAGGGCGCGUAGGCGGGCUGUCCAGUCUGGGGUGAAAUCCCGCGGCUCAACCGUGGAACUGCCUCAGAUACUGACGGCCUCGAGGGAGAUAGGGGCAUGCGGAACUGUAGGUGGAGCGGUGAAAUGCGUUGAUAUCUACAGGAACUCCGGUGGCGAAGGCGGCGUGCUGGAUCUCUUCUGACGCUGAGGCGCGAAAGCUAGGGGAGCAAACGGG